UGUGUGUAUAUGUGUGUGUGUGUGUGCUUUUUUCUCUGGCUUUAAAUUUUAAAAGACAAAAAAAAAAAAAAGCCAUAGGGAGCGGACUUGCUGAAGGCCCUCUGCUGCCCAUGUUUACAGCGGUAGUCAUAGGAGUUUUCGCAGGUUGACUUUGCCUCAGAUUUAUUCCCCCAUGCUUCUCUUUGCACAAGUAUGUAAACUACGGUCUAGAGUAUCAUUUUUUCUGUUGGAAAUCCUGCUCUUGCUGAACUGUCUUGGCCGUUGACUUUGACACAGUUAAUUAUUUAUGUAAAUACAUGCAUCCCAGUAGCCGGCAGGCAGGGAUGCUGAAUCUCGAGCCAGUCUCCAGGAACAACUGCAAACCUGACACAUGGUACUGUGCAUCCAUUCAUAAAACACUUAAAACUGUGAAAAUAUGGUUUACAUUAAAAAUGUACAUAAAGGUAGACGGAGAACUCGAUUCAGCCAGUUAGCUUGUACAUUUUAGGGGGCUUUUCACAUUAACUGCCCGUCUAUGUCAUUUAGAGUUUGACACGAUAACUUGUAUUUAAGGAAUUAUGUAGUGUAUAAAUCGGUCGAGGAUCUGGGGGAGGUGGAGAAGCUUACUGUAGGACUCAGCUUGUAAGGUUCGUUUUGUUUUGACUCUGGUCUUGGUGCAAAUGUUAGUUAUGCCUUAUUCAUACCAGUUAGAGCACCGUGCUGUGACAUGGGUAUAUCCGUGCUGCCCGGCCCUUUUAUAAUUAUUUGUUGCAGAUUUGUGACUGUCUCUAUUAACUUUCUUUUAUGUAAGUAAUUUGUACAAGUUUCUUAAGAUUUUUGCUUUUGCUUAUUUAAUUUUGAAUAAAAGCUAAAUUCAU
rnacentral:lncRNA from 1 species